rnacentral:rRNA from 1 species
CAGGGGAUCUUGGGCAAUGGGCGAAAGCCUGACCCAGCGACGCCGCGUGGGGGAAGAAGGCCUUCGGGUCGUAAACCCCUUUUCCGGGGGAAGAUGAUGACGGUACCCCGGGAAGAAGCCCCGGCUAACUACGUGCCAGCAGCCGCGGUAAGACGUAGGGGGCGAGCGUUACCCGGAAUCACUGGGCGUAAAGGGCGAGUAGGCGGCUGGGCAUGUCGUGCGGGAAAGCUCCCGGCUCAACUGGGAGAGGACGUGCGAAACGGUCCAGCUUGAGGGCAGCAGAGGCAGGUGGAAUUCCCGGCGGAGCGGUGACAUGCGUAGAGUUCGGGAGGAACACCCGUGGCGAAGGCGGCCUGCUGGGCUGUCCCUGACGCUGAGGCGCGAAAGCGUGGGGAGCAAACAGG